rnacentral:tRNA from 1 species
GCACCCUUAGCUCAGCUGGUUAGAGCACUGCAUUCACAUUGCAGGGGUCGGAAGUUCGAAUCUUCCAGGGUGCA